CUUGAUGAUGCUUUGAUAUUGAUGAAGUUAAGAUUGCACAAUAUGCUGAUAUAUAGGUGGUGGUUCACAAGCUGUGUGAAAAGAUGCAUUGUGAUUUUGUGAUUGUGAUGAUGAGGCUAAGCAGGGUAUUUGAUUGAAUGAUUGGAAUAAGCUUAUGAGUGAGGUUUGAGCUCCAGAGUUCUUAUUGAUAUAUUUUCUAUCUACUGGAAGCAUGAAUGAUUUUGCCUAAGUUUCUAUGAUUGAUUGAAUUACGUGUAUGUGUCACAUGAUCAU
rnacentral:lncRNA from 1 species